rnacentral:misc_RNA from 1 species
ACCAGUUCAGCAUGCCUUCUUCUGCUCAUUUAUAAUAAAUAAAAAUGUAUAAUAUGUAACAACUUAAAUGAAUAACAUGCUAAAAUACAUUUUGAAAAUAGGAACAAAAUGCAACCAAAAUUGGAAUUAUUGAAGUUAUAAGAUUUAACCAGCUGGCAUGAUGUUGCAGGUUUGUGUAUCUGAGCCAAGGAACAUUCCAGCUUCACAAAAACAUGACAUUAUCAAGGCAAUUUCUUUCAAGAGAAUUAAGGAUACAAGUAUACUAUCACUUGGGCUAAACAAGCUAGAAUUAGGGAAUGUUCUGAAUGGAUGCUAUCAUGUCACUCUUAUUCUAUUAAAUGGUUAUUUUCUAUAAGGUGGGUGGAAAUUCUUUUUAUAAGUGCAAUAGAUAACCCAUAGAAAGUGGGAGAAGGCUGGGAAGGUAUCUAUGAAUGG